ACUGCACUCCAAUCCUCUCUUUGGAACCUGCAACUGAAUAUUGCUCCUAAAUGGGAAGACUGUCUUGCAAGGGGACAACUGCCACAAUAUUGCCAAAAUUAGAAUCCAGAGGAGGUAACACGGUGCCAUCUCCAAGCCUGUGGCUCGAGAGGUCGGAAAAGAAGCUCUUUCUAAUUGGAAAACAGCCAGCAAAGUUGUUAAUUCCAAAAAACAAGUAUGUCUCUGGAGUUAAAAAAUUUUCUGUAAAGAGCCACAGUGGCUUUGCCAUCUCUAACACACUCCAAGAACUAGUAUCCUUGCCACACAUUCCCGAAGAGAUUAAUGUUAUAUUGGAGUCCUUAGAAACAAGAACAUACCAAUCAUAUCCUUCAAUCAGUCUCAACAAUGAAAAGCCUGAGAGCCCCUUUGCAGUUUGUCUGGGCUAUCUGAAGAUUUCUGGCCAAUAGUUUGUAAGGGGAAUUGGAACACUUCAAUUCUCAUCUGAUACAUUUAAGGAAAGAUACAAGUUCUCCACACUUUGCUUCCAACUUCACAGACAAG
ensembl:lncRNA novel transcript